rnacentral:rRNA from 1 species
UCCUACGGGACGCAGCAGUGGGGAAUAUUGCACAAUGGGGGAAACCCUGAUGCAGCGACGCCGCGUGAGUGAAGAAGUAUUUCGGUAUGUAAAGCUCUAUCAGCAGGGAAGAUAAUGACGGUACCUGACUAAGAAGCCCCGGCUAACUACGUGCCAGCAGCCGCGGUAAUACGUAGGGGGCAAGCGUUAUCCAGACUUACUGGGCGUAAAGGGAGCGCAGGCGGCAUGGCAAGUCUGAUGUGAAAACCCGGGGCCCAACCCCGGGAGUGCAUUGGAAACUGCCAGGCUGGAGGGUCGGAGGGGUA